UUAAGAUUUAGGGUUUAGUGAUUAGGAUUUAGGGUUUAGUGUUUGCUGGAAAAAAAAUUAAUUGUUUUUCUGUAAAUAUUAUUUUGUUUUACUUUUUUUUUAAACAUAAUAUAAUUUGAUAAUAUUUUGUUUUCUAUUUAAAAGAUAUCAAAUUUGAAAUAAUGAAAUCUUAUUCGUUGGUGAACAUAGAGGUUCAUCCUAGGAGGUGAACCUAAGAAUAACUCUUAUUUAUCUAAUUUUAGUCGACUAGUUUACUUUAUCUUAUUUAUGCUCGUUUAACAGAAAGUCGCUAUCUUAUACAUAGAACAAUAUCUUCAAAAGAUUUGAUUUCACUGUAUCAAUUCAGACCAACGAUGGGUAGAAGCCAAAGUCAUGACAGCUCACAUUGAGUCGAUGAUGAUGCGUACUCUCAAGAUAAUCACAAAAUAUUUGGUCAAAAUAAUAAACCACAGAAAAAAUAUUUUGCAUGAUUUUUGUUUUUUCGUCUCUUAGGAGCUAUAUAUCUAAACCCUUUAACAAAAAAAAGAGCUAUAUAUCUUGUUUCUUAUUACAUUUCUAUAUUAACAAAUUUAAAACAUUAUAUAUAAUUUUGUUAUGAAGAAUUUGUGAGAAAAAGAACACAAAUUUUCAAAAGUUUAGAGAAACUGAAACAUUCAACCAUCUAGUUUUUUUUUUCUGUUAAUGUGUGAAUGCAUAAGAGAUAUUUAGCUAUAUGCACCUGAAAUAGUCUCAAAUUAAAGAACUACACAGGAUUUGAAAGAAGUGGUCUUUUUCGUAUCUUUUGUGCACUGAGAGUAUAAAAAUACCCCUUAGCUCUGACAAGAAAAACAGCUCAAAGGAUAGUAGAUCAAUGUUUGAAGAGGUAGAUUUGGCCCUAGGUAAGUUCUUCAUCAUAUGUUGUCUCUGGUUUUCAUGUCGGCUAUAUACACAAUUUGACACAAAAUAAUAGGCGGUAUCAAACAACAAUUAAAAUAUUAGAAUAUAUUAUAAUUUAGUACUCACUAUCAGUGACCCUAUUGCUGAAGAAUAUAAAUAUAUAUUAUAUUUCUUAAAAUAAUAAUCUAAAUUACCGUAUGAUUAAUAAAUUGAUAACAAUAAACAAAUUGUGUCAUAUAAAACUUACCAUUUUUAGUUUACAGUGAGUAUCCGAUAAAACAUUAAUACUAUUGAACUUACAAAUUAUGUGUUAAUAUUAAUGUUAUAUGUUAACACACUAUUUGAUGAAGGCUAUGGUUUGGCAACAUUCAUGUGAAUAUCCUAUGUGCUAUUGUCAGUUUUAGAAGUGCUAUAAAUGUAACAUACAACUCUUAAAUUAACAAAUAUAUUUACUUAAAAAAUUUAAAUACUACAUAUAUUAAGUUAUAUGUUAGCAUGAUACAUGUAUCGAUAACAACCAAUAUAUAAAGUUACCACCAAUAAAUAAUGUUAUCAUGGUUUGCUAGUUGAUACAUAAUUUAUUAACUGGUACAAAUCAUUUAGCUGACAAACAAUGUAUCAUUUAACAAAGCAUGUAUCUGCUACAUACAAUUAUUUUAUGACAAGUUCAUCUGACGGAGGAGUUCAAGGAUGAGCGCCAUAACGGUGUCUGUGAUUCCUUGGCUCGGGAAGUAUCGACAUUGACACGACGAAUAACUAAAUCGACCUCGAGAGUUGAAUCAAUGACACGAUUGACAAAAUCAAAACAUAAAAUAAGUUGAUGAGGACAGAUUUCGAGUUGAGAAAUUAGGAGUCCUACCAAAACUUUUUAGUCUAUUUAGGUAUCUACCAAUUGAUACUAUUUAGACACUGUAUAUAAUCACUUAUGACUCUGCUGCCCCUAUAUUUACUCUAAUGCACUAUUAGUCGAAUCUUCUCAUGUUAAAUUGGUAAUAUUUGAUAUCACGUUACUUACCAACUAUUACAAAAUUAAUAUUCAGUUUUCUUCCUCUUUCAUCUUUCCUAUUUCGUAAUCUCUUUCAUCUGCAAAUAGCUUCCAAAUUCCAGAAGAUAAUUAAUUUUGUGUAAGAUGAAAUCAUUUUCUUAAUACCUAUACCAUCCAUAACAAAGAUCCAAAACGAAGGUUUAUUCAAUCAAUCCAAAGAAUGGAAACAAAAUGAAGGAAGAUGAAGCUGGCUUUGGGUCUGAAUAUCUGCACUUACUUCCCAAGAACCGUAGACGAAUCAUCUUCUGCUUCAAACUUCACAGUAAAACUAUUCAAUGUUACUAGUUCAAAAAAAAAAAUUAUUGUACCAUAACAGUGAAUUCUGAAUAAUUGAAAGUUAGGUUUUCUAUUACC